rnacentral:rRNA from 1 species
CGCGCAGGCGGUCGUAUAAGUCGCGUGUGAAAGCCCCCGGCUCAACUGGGGAGGGUCACGCGAUACUGUUCGACUCGAAGGCAGGAGAGGGAAGUGGAAUUCCCGGUGUAGUGGUGAAAUGCGUAGAUAUCGGGAGGAACACCAGUGGCGAAGGCGACUUCCUGGCCUGUUCUUGACGCUGAGGCGCGAAAGCUAGGGUAGCAAACG